CUUCUGCUAUGAUGAAUUAUGAAACAAUUCACAUGUCAGACUUCAGAGAUCUGUAUAAAGAUCUAUGAGAAGACUAAUUCAUGAAUUCUGAGCAGUUU